UUUAGGAAAAAUAUGGUGCUUCUGAAUUUUAUCCCUAUGUUUCCCUCACUUAAUUUUUACAAAGAACCAAAUAUAUUCUCUCAAUUAAAAAUCUAUAAGAAAAAACGCUAUAUUCCAGAAAUUUUCAGCGAUGUGAGGAUACUCCACAAAACGACUAAGAAGCCCUAUUCCAGAAAUUUUCAAUCAAAGCGGCUAUUUCAGAAAUUUUCAGCGAAGCUUUUGAUGAGGAAAACAACAGAGAACAACAAUCACUUAGACUACAAAUCUCUUGGACAUCGAAGCUUUUGUUGAAACUCGUUGGUCCUCUUGGACAUCGAAGCUUUUGUUGAAACUCGUUGGUCCUCGUGGACAGCUAGGUUCGACUUCAAAUUCUUGCAUAUAAAGUCUGUUGCAUUGUGGUGUGACUACUUAAGUUUUGUUCAAGAGCAUGACCAAUCAGUUUGUACACUUUCUGCUCCUGGAAUUUCAAAGGUGUGAAAUCUAUUUGAGCGUGCCCUUAUUUCUUCGUAUAAUAUAUGUUAUUUUCUCUAAUCUAGGUCUGCCAUAUAAUAUAUGUUAUUUUCUCCAAGCUAUGUUUUUGUGUAAAUUAAAAUUUUGAUACUAAAUGUUGCAACAACAUUACUAGUAAGUGGGUCUACUCUGCCAUACUUUUUAACUUCUUUAGUCCUAUUUUUACACAAGUUGGAAUAGUCAUGAGUCAACAAGAACCUUCAAAAAGAAAUACAAAAAGCAAAAAAACAAGACAUUUGCUAAAUCGGGAUCAUUAUCAUUCUUGGCAAAUAAGAAACGGUGGUUAUUGACAAUAAAUGAAAUUGUUCAAGCUAUAGAGUGCGAGAAAGGACAUCUGCUUAAAUUAAUAAGAGUACAACAAACAGUAGCACCAUAAUCUGAAGCAAAUAGACAGUUCUAUAGAGAAGCAGCAUGUCAAGGAGCAGCCUGUCGGAGAGAUACAUUUCGAUGAUCAAGUGCAAAUGAAUUAUGUCACUCCUUAAACAGAUGAUCAACCUAAAGAAUAAGCUGAAUAUGUAAUUGCACAACUUAAGAAUGCCGGAUUAAUUAAUCCUAUCAUAAUGGAAGCAUUGUUCAUUCCUUCACCAAUAGAAUCUACUUAUGUUCAAGGGGCCGAGCAAGUUUUAGUUCAGAGACCUUAGGAAUUGGUAAUGCGCUGUUUUAAUUCACAAACAUGAGGAUCGGAAUGCACUAAUUGCCAUCUACCUUAAAUGAGUACACACAUGAAUUCUUCUUAAUGAAUUUAGAGUGUUCAAAUUUGAAGUUUAGGUGAUGAAAUUGAAGAAGGCGAUGAAAGCAGUAGUAAAGACUUGACAUAGGAUCUGAAUUGUCGAUGUUAACUUACUGAUGUUAUAGAAAUCUUUUAUUUUUGAAGAUUGGAAACUGUGUGCAUGUGUUUCACCUUUUUUGAAUGGUAAAAAAGUAUUUGUAUAUUUUGCUUUAAUUGAUAUUAGCUACAUGGAUCUUGAAUCAGAAUUUUGGUUAUGAACAUUUCUUCUCAUGAA